GUGGGGAAUAUUGGACAAUGGGGGCAACCCUGAUCCAGCAAUUCUGUGUGCACGAAGACGGUUUUCGGAUUGUAAAGUGCUUUCAGCAGGGAAGAAGAAAGUGACGGUACCUGCAGAAGAAGCGACGGCUAAAUACGUGCCAGCAGCCGCGGUAAUACGUAUGUCGCGAGCGUUAUCCGGAAUUAUUGGGCAUAAAGGGCAUCUAGGCGGCCUAACAAGUCAGGGGUGAAAACCUGCGGCUCAACCGCAGGCUUGCCUUUGAAACUGUGAGGCUGGAGUAUCGGAGAGGUGGACGGAACUGCACGAGUAGAGGUGAAAUUCGUAGAUAUGUGCAGGAAUGCCGAUGAUGAAGAUAGUUCACUGGACGAUAACUGACGCUGAAGUGCGAAAGCCGGGGGAGCAAACAGGAUUAGAAACCCCAGUAGUCC
rnacentral:rRNA from 1 species